AGGACGAACGCUGGCGGCGCGCUUAACACAUGCAAGUCGAGCGAGAACCAGGCCUUCGGGCCUGGGGAAAGCGGCGAACGGGUGAGUAACACGUGGGUAACCCACCCUUGGUACCGGGAUAGCCCGAGGAAACUCGGAUUAAAUACCGGAUGGCCCAACAGCUUCUCGGAGCGGUUGGAAAAGGUAGCUUCGGCCUCCGACCAAGGACGGGCCCGCGGUGGAUUAGCUUGUUGGUGAGGUAACGGCUCACCAAGGCUUCGAUCCAUAGCUGGUCUGAGAGGACGAUCAGCCACACUGGGACUGAGACACGGCCCAGACUCCUACGGGAGGCAGCAGUGGGGAAUCUUGCGCAAUGGGCGAAAGCCUGACGCAGCGACGCCGCGUGGGGGAAGAAGGCUUUCGGGUUGUAAACCCCGUUUCAGGAAGGACGAAGCCACGUCGGGUUAAUAGCCCAGAGGGUGACGGUACUUCCAGAAGAAGCCCCGGCUAACUACGCGCCAGCAGCCGCGGUAA
rnacentral:rRNA from 1 species